ACAAAUGCUGUUUACUUAAGACAGCAGGUGCAUCCGCAUAAACGGGUUCUUCCCGGCCUGCCGAGGUUUACGCGUACAAAACCCAAUAGAGUUUUCGUAUGCCUUUUCCUUUGCAUGUUUGCGGAAAAGGUUUUUUUAUUGUU
rnacentral:sRNA from 1 species